CAGCAGCCGCGGUAAUACGAAGGGUGCAAGCGUUACUCGGAAUUACUGGGCGUAAAGCGUGCGUAGGUGGUGGUUUAAGUCCGUUGUGAAAGCCCUGGGCUCAACCUGGGAAUUGCAGUGGAUACUGGGUCACUAGAGUGUGGUAGAGGAUAGUGGAAUUUCCGGUGUAGCAGUGAAAUGCGUAGAGAUCGGAAGGAACAUCUGUGGCGAAGGCGACUAUCUGGGCCAACACUGACACUGAGGCACGAAAGCGUGGAGAGCAAACAGGAUUAGAUACCCCGGUAGUCCCUGUCUCUUAUAC
rnacentral:rRNA from 1 species